GCCAGGCAUGGUGGUGCAUGCCUGUAAUCCCAGCUACUCGGGAGGCUGAGGCAGGAGAAUUGCUUGAACUCAGGAGGCAGAGGUUGCAGUGAGCUGAGAUCGUGCCGCGGCACUCCAGCCUGGGUGACAGAGUGAGACUCUGCCUCAA
rnacentral:SRP_RNA from 1 species